GGGUUUUGUUAGAAAAAUAGUUGGAAACCGGUCCUGAUCGAUUUCGGUGUGCUGCCUUUGAGGGACUGCAAAGAACGAAAGACGGAAAAGGCAAAUGCAACAGCUUUUGUAGACAUUAUAUUGUUAGGGACCUAACUGAUUAAUUGAGAACAUAGUAAUAGUACAAUGCCAUGAAUAGAUCACAUUGUGUAAACAACAAAACAAUUUGAAACAGGAGAAUAUAAAACUUAUUCAGAAAACAUCGACCACUAACGAUCGAGAAAAUCCCAAUGUAUCAUUGGUGAUGUUAGUUUCUAAGUGCCUUGGCGUAAUUCAGGACAGAUAAUUCCUGCUCCCAAAAGAUUUCUCCAAAGAAAAUGAAAACAAAGGAAACCCAACUGUUCCAGCUGGAUUCCAGUCUGAGGAAGGUGCAGAGAAACAAAAUUCAUAAGACCGGUAGCCGUGGGGUUUGGUUGCAUGACCCACCGAACGAACGCCUGACGAUUGAUGGGACGAUACAGAUCCGAAGGUUUCUUUAUGGAUGCAGUUUUUCGUACAGUAGAAGACUUUUUUUUACUCUUUUGUUCCUGUCUCAACUGACGAACGGAUAAAAUGAUCGAUUCCCUUUUUCAGAGAUUUGCAAUGUAAUUUAAGAUGGAAUAGUAAUUUGGGUGUGACGAGAUUCGUUUUUGCCAGAAGUAGUAAUUUAGAUAAGAUAA